UACGAAGGGGGCGAGCGUUGUUCGGAAUUACUGGGCGUAAAGGGCGCGUAGGCGGCCUUCUAAGUCGAACGUGAAAUCCCCGGGCUCAACCCGGGAACUGCGUCCGAUACUGGAAGGCUUGAAUCCGGGAGAGGGAUGCGGAAUUCCAGGUGUAGCGGUGAAAUGCGCAGAUAUCAGGAGGAACACCGAUGGCGAAGGCAGGUCUCUGGGCCACUACUGACGCUGAGAAGCGAAAGCAUGGGGAGCGAACAGG
rnacentral:rRNA from 1 species